rnacentral:lncRNA from 1 species
CUCAAUCAAAUUCCAAAACAAAAGAUAUAUUCAUGAUAUAAAAUCAAAAAUAAGUAAAGAAUACUUAACCCAGUCCACUUGGUGAAAAUUACUUCAAGAAUCGCCUCAAUCUGAGCUCCAUAGCUCCAAAAAUACAAAAAUAACUGAAACCGCUGAAAUAGAGUAUUUUAUAAUAUACCCAAGCAUUCCUCUUAUGCGGAUGCGAAAAUUCCAUCGUGUUCGCGGUGAACAAAAUAUAUUGCCACCAAAAUUACUCUAUGCGAUCGCAUACCAAACACUGCGAACGCGAAGAAGAAGCAACCAUUGCCAGCUCAGUCCAAACCACUAUGCGAAUGCGUGCACGCUAGCGCGAAUGCGAUGCUCACUCCGUAGCAACCUAUGCAUUCACAUCUGAGAACCUGCGAAUGCGUAGAACAACUUGACACCAUCCAUCAAACAAUCUUAUACGAUCUCGACCCAUGCUCUGCGAUCGCGAUUAAGAAGACCAAAUACCUAGAAUUCUGCAUAACCAACAAUGCAAAAUGAAGGAAAAAUAGUCUGAAAUCAAUCUGAUACACGACCAAGCCCCUCGAGACCCUAUCCAAAUAUGCCAAACAAGUCCCAAAAGACAUAAAUAAGCUAUUACAAUUUCUGGAACCACAAUCCGAAUCCGAUAUCCAAAAAGGUCAAACUUAUGAAUUUUCCAAACCUUCAAAUUUUCAACCUUCCCCAAUUAGUGCCAAAUUCUUCUAGGAACAUACAAAUGCAAAUUCGGGCAUAAGUCCGAGUUCAAAAUCACCAUCCGGACCUAACGGAACCAUCAAAACUCCAAUAUGAGGUCAAAUACUAAAAAUUUAAACUUGGUCAACUCUUCCAAUUUAAAACUUAAACCAUGAAAUUCAUUUUUCUAAAUCAAUUCCGAAUAACCUGAAAACCGAAACCGACGAUUCACAUAAGUCAUAAUACAUCAUAUGGAGUUGCUCAUGCCAAUAAACUACCAAGUGAAGUACAAAUUCUCAAAACGAUCGAUCGGGUCGUUACAUCAAAUGCUCAAACACCGCCAACAAUUCAAUAUUUGCUAUUAAAUAUCCCAACUACAUCAAAACAAACGCAAAAAGAUUCAUAAAUAUCUAUUUAGGCUUCACAAUUGGCAACAAGCCUUCAACCAUUCCAAAUUAUCCAAUAGGUUCACCCAUUAGCCUAUUCAAUUCUAUUCUUAUCAUUUAAUACUCAUUUGGAGUCAUUAAUGAUACUACGUUAGUUACCCAACAUCGUCAAGUCUCUAUUCAUUGUCUUCUCCAACAAAACCCUAGAUUCAAGAACUAGUAUUAUAUCUUAUCCAUAGAGAUGGAAAAUAGAGCGGGGCAGGGCGGGAUAGGGGAGGGCAGGGAAAUCCUUAAUGGGGCAGGGCAGGGCAAGACAGGGCAAAGUCUUAAUGGGACCGGGCAGGGCGUGGCAGAUCAAAACACAUUUUCAAAAAAUAGUUAAUGGAUCAGGGCAGGUAUAGGGUAGAAUUUUAGCUGCAAAUUCAUUUACUGCUUUAUCAAUCUUUAAGGUCAACACUAAUGAAAACAUAACUUGUUAUGGUACAAUAGUUUUACUCCUUAGAAAACAAGAAUACCUUUCUACAUUUAUAUAGAAUUGUAGUAGCUCUAAGCGAUAAUCUAUAUAGGAAUUUUCUUUUGUAGCCAAAGUUGUGUAAUUCCCUAUUUUGUUUCCACCUUCUUUUAGUCGUUAUUUUUGGUCUUAUGAAAUAUUCUUCAGAUUAAAUGUCCCCUUACUAAGAAUUUUAACUGCACUCAAAUUAGGAACCCAUAAAAUUUGUGGUAUUCUAUUAACUUCUUCUUAUAGCUUUUUGAUUUUUCAUUAAAUAAGAUAAAAAGGUUUAUUGAUUUAUGUCUAUGUGAUCUCCAUCGCAAAUCGUGAUCCAGAAGUUUCUCUUACCCAAAUUUUUAUCAACAUGUUUAACUUGACUACACCCGUCCUAAGUAAAUCAUCUUAUGUUUAUUAUAAUUCAAAGCACAUAAUAAAUGAAUAACCUAAAUAUUGAAUGUGGAUAAGUUAUUUUCUUGUUCAAUAAGGAUGAAACCAUAUGAUACAAUUCAUUUUCAUAUGUUACUGAGAGCAUAACAUCCCCAUUAUUUAUUGGAUUGAUAUAGUCUUCAGUAGCUAUUUUAGUCUUUAAUUUUUUACAUACUAAACAAUCAACUCAUAGAACCUCUUCUAUAGUGAGUCCAUCUAACUGCUUUGUAUUUGUUCUUGGAGUGGAACAUUAAUACAAGGGGAACUUAGUCUUUGAUAAAUUAUAUGUCAUUGGUAAAAAUUAUAUUUUAUUCAAUCAAUAUGCAUAAACAACUAAAUAAUAUUUUAACUAUUUCAAUAGAAAGUUGAAAAGGCAAAAGAAAUUAAAAUCAUAAUACAAAAUAAAAAUAAAGAGAAAAAAAAUAAAAAAUGUCCAAAUGGGGCAGGGCGAGGCAGGGCUUAAUAGGGCGGGACUGGGCAUGGCAAAUUUUUUACAAAAGGCUAAAUGGGGCAAGGCAGGGUCAAGGCUUGUCCUGCCCCGCCACACCCUGCCCUGCCCUAUUUACAUCCCUACUUAUCCAAAUAGUGAUUCUCGAUUCAAUUCGUUCAUAAAUUAGGUUAUCAAUCUAUAUGAGUCAUUAGAAACUCAAGACAUAUCCAUUUAUAUCGAUUCAUCACUAUUCAUCUUUUUCUUUGCCUAAAAUAUUAUUUUCAAGAACCCACCCUUAGAGUUCAUACAAUAUUCCGUUACAACUUCAAAUAAAACUAAUAAACAUGUCACCCACACUUCAAUAUAUCAUAUAUGUGAAGCUCAAGUGAAGGGAUUACCUCUUGGUGGAAGAAUCUCACUUUUUCUCUUUUUGGUGUUCUUGAAGAUUCACCACAAAUGCAUUUUAAAUACUUACCUUAAAAUGUGUUGACGAGGGAUGUGCUCCUACUUCUCUCUAAGUUCAAGACCCUUGUCCAAAAUUCCAUCUCAUGCUCUCUCCUCAAAAUAGUCACUUUUAUAAUUUUGAUGGCAUGCAUAACUACGCAUAUCUCCAACAUAGCUACGCUUCCUUCCUCUUCAGCCCCCCUUCAUUUGAAUACCUUGCUGAAAUCCGCUAUGCCCAGGGCAGCGUAGCUACUACGUGGCUGUUGUGGUACCCUUUAGUAAAAAAUUAUAACUUCUUGUAAAAAUAUCCAAAUGACAAACGGUUUGAAACAUUGCAAACUAGACUCAUAGUUCUUUAGUUUGAUAGGUCAUACACUACAUAAAUCUUCAUAUAUUGGUAGUUGUACUCGUUUGAAUUUAGAUCUCGUGCCAACUCAUUUAAAACUUUAGCCCAUUAUAUAAUUUCAAACUUGACUUAGUUUUAGGGAUCUUCUUAGACCAUAAACCAUUCUUAAUGUACCUCAAAUAUAUAUUAUCAUGAUCAAAUGAUAUCCUUCAUAUUAUUAGUCUUGUUCAUACCUAAGUUAAUAUAUUAACACCUAUCAAUCUUCUUAAUGGUCUUAAACACUUCGAAAUUUUUCGGGGUGUUACAUUAACAAAAAAAUCGUUAUGAAUGAAAUAAAUACUUAGUAGUAAAGUUUUAAAAAUAAUAUCAAAUAGUGAAACAAAUUAAGUAUUUAGUAUUGUUUUAAUCAGGAAUAAGAUUAUUAAAAAAUUGGCAGUAUGUACCAGUACAACAAAAUAUACUGCAACAAAUCACUAAGUUUAUCCUUGAAAAUUAGGCACAUUGGAUGAACUGCCAUCGGGAGCUGAAUUACCACCGCUUCCCAAAUCGACUGAAGGAUAUUUACGAUGAUUGUAUCCUGUUUAGGAACAUAUAUCUCAUUUAUGCACAUAAAUGUGUCACACCUCCUUUUUACUACCCCGGAAGGGUAUAAGGGAGUUUUUUCCAAUUUAAGUAACAACAGAAACGAGAUUAUUUAUUUAUUAUUCAGAGUCGCCACUUGGGAUGAUUUAUGGUGUCCUAAGUCACCGGUUUUAAAUCCUGAAUUGAGAAAAGAUUGACUCUGUUUUUUAGUCCGCGAACACAGAAAUCCGGGUAAGGAAUUCUGUUAACCUGAGAGAAGGUGUUAGGCAUUUUCAGAUUCCGUGGUUCUAGCACGGUCGCUCAACUAUUACUAUUGGCCUAAUUAUAUGAUUUUAAAAUAUUCUUAAACCUAUGUGCAUUUUUAACCUUUUAGCCGCUUUUAAUUAUGCAAAGAAUUAAUUCAAAGUUAUUUAAAACAUAUCGCAAGCCACGCUAUAUGAAAUGCACUCAUGGUUCACGACACGCUCUAUUUAACCUUGUUGGAAAUUAGAACCGGGCCACAUGAAAUGUACCCACAGAUUUAUAACAAUUGUGUAUCGCAACUACGUCACGGGAAUCGUACCCGUAAUCACGAUGAUUUUAUUAUAAAUGCACCUAAAGUAAACUACUAUGUUUGUGAAUUGUGUAAUUCUCAAUUUGAUGAUUGUGAGCAAGAAAGGCCCGGGAUUAUGAAGUACUUUUACUAAAAGAGAUUUCAUGCAUUCAAUCCAGCCCAAUUCCUAAACAUGUAAGUAAUUUUUAUCACUAAUGGGCUAGGAAUUUCCAAAUUUAGAAGUUUAACACAUGCUCUGUACUUUGUCACAAAAACACAAUCCUAUGCAUGUACCGUCUCUAUGAAAAUGUCUCAGCAGUAUAAAGAAUCUCAUUCAACAACGAAAUUAGUAAUGCAGUCACGGCUUUAAACUAAAUGGAUCAAAAAGAGUUCACUUAAUAAAUCUAUCUUCCUAUUCCUCACUUGCCUUUUAACAUAAACCAACACCCAGAUUUCGUGAUUAACUCCAACACAAGCUAAUUUGUAAACAGAUUUUAUAAUUCAAUUUAAUCAACUACGGAGAUUAGCCCUUAAAAUAGACUUGAAAAAACUAUCUUAUUAUUGACCACUUUAGAUUUCAAAAGGAAGAAACAUUAAAAUCUUAAGCUAAGAAAGCUAGUAAGGAAGAUACCCACCAACACAAUGUUCAAACGAAUUGAGUCAGAACAAUCAAACAUAAGCUUUCUCCAUUUUUUAACAAUGAAAUAUAUGAUAGAAAUACCGCAAAUAACAGAGGGGAAAAGAAAAAUGAACCUGAAAUGAUCUUUUUGGCUAACAAAAAUUUCAGCAACUACACAAAUGAAGUUCACCGUAGCUAUGACCGGAUCUCGAAAUGGCGAUUAAAAAAAUCAAACAGAAUCAGGAUCGGAAACUCUGGACAUGACAACCUCGACAAACUCGGCCCAAUCUAACCUUCUCAUUUUCGAAUUUAGAUUUGUUCGUUCCUUGUUGAAGAGUGGGUGAGCAGGUAAAGUUCAGGGGAUGGCCUCUUUUGAUUUUUCUCUAGGUCUCUCUGUUGGAAGAAGGUCUAAUGGCUGAUGCUUCAGCUUUUGUUUAUUGUGUAUCGAUCCCCUCUUUUUGUGAAGAAGAAGACGUUAGGGAGGGGGUCAUUUGUAUUCUUGUUCGGCAUUCAAAAUCCGCAGGAGAAGAAGUCCUUCUUCUGUGAAGAAGAAGGCAUUGGGGGAGGUCUCCUUGUGAACUUCGGUGCCUGAUUUCUUAGGUCCUAGGGUCUUGCGUCUGAUUUAGAGCCUUUUGGCUUUUUGUGUGUCUUUGAUCUUUUCAGAGAAAAACAACGGAUUAGUCUGUG